GAUGAACGCUGGCGGCGUGCCUAACACAUGCAAGUCGAACGGAGUCCAGCCUUUAAGACCUUCGGGUCAAAGAGGGGAAGACUGAGUGGCGGACGGGUGAGUAACACGUGGGCAACCUGGCUCAUAGAGGGGGAUAACAGAGAGAAAUUUCUGCUAAUACCGCAUAAGCACACACUGCCGCAUGGCAGAGGGUGAAAAGAGAAUCGCUAUGAGAUGGACCCGCGUCUGAUUAGCCAGUUGGCAGGGUAAGAGCCUACCAAAGCGACGAUCAGUAGCCGAUCUGAGAGGAUGAACGGCCACAUUGGGACUGAGACACGGCCCAAACUCCUACGGGAGGCAGCAGUGGGGGAUAUUGCACAAUGGGGGGAACCCUGAUGCAGCGACGCCGCGUGAGUGAAGAAGUAUUUCGGUAUGUAAAGCUCUAUCAGCAGGGAAGAUAAUGGCAGUACCUGAAUAAGAAGCCCCGGCUAACUACGUG
rnacentral:rRNA from 1 species